rnacentral:rRNA from 1 species
UACCAGCACCCCGAGUGGUCGGGACGAUUAUUGGGCCUAAAGCAUCCGUAGCCGGUCCUGCAAGUCUUCCGUUAAAUCCAGCUGCUCAACAGAUGGGCUGCGGGGGAUACUACAGGGCUAGGAGGCGGGAGAGGCAAGCGGUACUUUAUGGGUAGGGGUAAAAUCCGUUGAUCCAUAGAAGACCACCAGUGGCGAAGGCGGCUCACUGGCCCGGUACUGACGCUGAGGUGCGAAAGCGUGGGGAGCAAACAGG